GUAAGUAAAACAAGUAGUUAUAGAGUGGUAUGUAAAGUGGGUUCUAUUUAUAUGCAAAGUAUAUAUGAAAAUAUGUGUGUGUGUGUGUAUUCGUGAAGAAGAAAGAGAAAGAACAAAAGCUAUUCACACUGCUUAACUACUGAGGUUUUCAUUUUUUAACAUAAAUAUUUCCAGUUUUAUACAAUGGACACUGUGUCCAAACUGGGAUUGACUUUUGAGGUCAUUUAUACCCAUUUUGAAAAUGAGGACGUGGAGGCCAGGGACAGUUAAAUUCAUUUCAAUUCAACAAUUAUUGGAGGCUUGUUGUGGGCAGAGAACCAUGCAGUGGGCCUCAGGGUAUCCAAGGAAAAGUAAGACCCAGUUACCUAAUCCUCUGUUCAAGUGUCUCCAGUGUAUGCUAGACUUUGGGAGAUGAGGAUAAAGAUGACAAGAAUCUGCCCUCAAGAAAUGCUGGCUGUGGAGACAGUUAUCCAGAUAAACUAUCCCACAUAUGAUGUGAUAAAUGCUAAGGAAAUGACACGGCAGAGAUUGCAGUUUUUUUCUUAAUAGCUAUUCUUUCAACAUCCAACUAAAAGAUUGUAUUUCCUGGUCUCCCUUAUAAUGAGUUGUGGUCAUGUAACAAAAUUUUGGUCCAUGAGAUGUUGGAGGAAAUGUUGUGGGAGUUUCUGGGAAGUCUUUUUAAAGGGAACAGCAAAUCUUCCCUUUUUUCUGCUGCUUGGAAUUUAGAUGCAAUGUCUGGAGCUUUAGUAAUCGUUUUGAACUGUGAAGGGACCCCCAUACUAGGAUGUUGGAACAGAUAAAAGUAGCCUUAGUCACCAACACCACGGAGCUGCUCUAUCAGCCCUGUAUUUCUAUGUUUAUACUUACUUCACACAGGAGAGAAAGAAUCAUCUUAUUUCUUAUGCCACUAUUAUUUAGGAUUUUUUUUCCUACAUGCAAAUAAAGAAAGUCUCAAUUUAUACAAAUCCUAAAAAUAAAAUGUUACAGGAGCAAGGGAGUGAGUGAAGAAAGAGUGAGUAUUUCCAUUGUUGAGCAGCAAAGAAGUCAGAACAGGCAUGGGGGGUUGUGAAGGGAGUUUGCCAAUGAGAUGGGCAGGGAUGAAGGAGGAAGCGCGGGCCAAGAAGGGAGCAUGGGUACAGGGCAGGGAAUGGGCUGAGGGGUGUUGGAAUCACUCAGCCUGGAUUCAAACCCCAUCACAAUCACUUCAUUGCUCUAAGCCUCAGUUUCCCCAUCUGUAAAAUGGGGGUAAUCAUAGUGUUAGCUGCAUCAGGUUCUAGUCAGGAUUACAUGAGCUAAUGUGCUGUGCCUGGAGCCUGGUGAGUGCUCAGUAAAGGCUGGCUAUUAACGUGCGUAUCUGAAAAUUGGGAUAAUCACCGUCUGAUCUCUAAGGGCAGCCAGGCUAGAUAACACAGCACAGGGCACUACCCAGACUGGAUGCCCAGCUAUGGAGCCCCCUCUCUCCCCCUGCUGUCAGGGAAUUUACAAUCACUAUUUAACAAAUCUUCACCAAGCCCCUGCUCUGAGCCAGGUACUGGGCCAGGAGGUUGCUGACUCCAGGAAGAAUCAGACCUUAUCCCUGACCUCCGGUUGCUCACAGUCCCGAGGAGACGAAAGGAAAAUAAAAAGACAAACCUAAUACAGGAUGAGAAAUGCAACAGGUCCAAGUUCAGUCCACGAGCUCAGGGCCAGAGAAAGAACAGUAGGCUUGAAACAAUCAUCUACUAUUUUUUGU
ensembl:lncRNA